rnacentral:rRNA from 1 species
GAUGAACGCUGGCGGCGUGCUUAACACAUGCAAGUCGAACGAAGCAUUUGCGACAGAUUUUUUCGGAAUGAAGUUGCUUAUGACUGAGUGGCGGACGGGUGAGUAACGCGUGGGUAACCUGCCUUGUACUGGGGGAUAGCAGCUGGAAACGGCUGGUAAUACCGCAUAAGCGCACAAUGUUGCAUGACAUGGUGUGAAAAACUCCGGUGGUAUAAGAUGGACCCGCGUCUGAUUAGCUAGUUGGUGAGAUAACAGCCCACCAAGGCGACGAUCAGUAGCCGACCUGGGAGGGUGACCGGCCACAUUGGGACUGAGACACGGCCCAGACUCCUACGGGAGGCAGCAGUGGGGAAUAUUGCACAAGGGAGGAAACUCUGAUGCAGCGACGCCGCGUGAGUGAAGAAGUAAUUCGUUAUGUAAAGCUCUAUCAGCAGGGAAGAUAGUGACGGUACCUGACGAAGAAGCUCCGGCUAAAUACGUG